rnacentral:sRNA from 1 species
GGGACGAAAAGGAGAGGGUGGAAAGAAAGGGCAAUGGGAAGAGGGAGAAGUAUGGGCACGUGAAGAGGUCAAGGUGACAGGAGGGGGAAUCAUUGCGAAGGUCACGAACAGCACCGGCGCACCACUGACCUUUAAAAGCUGCGUAUCGUUUGUUCCUGCUACAGUUCGGUUUUGGAGCUUUUAGAAAUCAGACUGAGCUUAUACAUCACACGCGCGCGAUUCACUCAACGCAUGACUGUCAAGAAUAAAAGAUUACAUCGCUGACAAAUUUUCAGCGAAAAAUAAGAGGAAGCAUUGAUACGACACGUAUUCAAGGUACAACAAGAAAUAUAACGAAGAAGAGUGACGUAUGCGUGAGAAGACAACAACUGUAUAGCGAAGAGCAAGUACGAGCAAACAAUAACAAAAGAAAAAAA